UCUUCCCUAGGCAUUGCAGGUGUAGCUGCUGUGUCUCGUGUGCGUCAGUAGGUGGUAGAGGAGAGGCUGUGUCUGUGCUCAGGGUUCUGACCUGUGAACAUCUGAAUCACUAGUAAGUAGCCUGACGUU